rnacentral:rRNA from 1 species
UUGAACGCUGGCGGCAGGCCUAACACAUGCAAGUCGAGCGGUAGCACAGAGAGCUUGCUCUCGGGUGACGAGCGGCGGACGGGUGAGUAAUGUCUGGGAAACUGCCUGAUGGAGGGGGAUAACUACUGGAAACGGUAGCUAAUACCGCAUAAUGUCGCAAGACCAAAGUGGGGGACCUUCGGGCCUCAUGCCAUCAGAUGUGCCCAGAUGGGAUUAGCUAGUAGGUGGGGUAACGGCUCACCUAGGCGACGAUCCCUAGCUGGUCUGAGAGGAUGACCAGCCACACUGGAACUGAGACACGGUCCAGACUCCUACGGGAGGCAGCAGUGGGGAAUAUUGCACAAUGGGCGCAAGCCUGAUGCAGCCAUGCCGCGUGUGUGAAGAAGGCCUUCGGGUUGUAAAGCACUUUCAGCGGGGAGGAAGGCGAUAAGGUUAAUAACCUUGUCGAUUGACGUUACCCGCAGAAGAAGCACCGGCUAACUCCGUGCCAGCAGCCGCGGUAAUACGGAGGGUGCAAGCGUUAAUCGGAAUUACUGGGCGUAAAGCGCACGCAGGCGGUCUGUCAAGUCGGAUGUGAAAUCCCCGGGCUCAACCUGGGAACUGCAUUCGAAACUGGCAGGCUAGAGUCUUGUAGAGGGGGGUAGAAUUCCAGGUGUAGCGGUGAAAUGCGUAGAGAUCUGGAGGAAUACCGGUGGCGAAGGCGGCCCCCUGGACAAAGACUGACGCUCAGGUGCGAAAGCGUGGGGAGCAAACAGGAUUAGAUACCCUGGUAGUCCACGCCGUAAACGAUGUCGAUUUGGAGGUUGUGCCCUUGAGGCGUGGCUUCCGGAGCUAACGCGUUAAAUCGACCGCCUGGGGAGUACGGCCGCAAGGUUAAAACUCAAAUGAAUUGACGGGGGCCCGCACAAGCGGUGGAGCAUGUGGUUUAAUUCGAUGCAACGCGAAGAACCUUACCUGGUCUUGACAUCCACAGAACUUUCCAGAGAUGGAUUGGUGCCUUCGGGAACUGUGAGGCAGGUGCUGCAUGGCUGUCGUCAGCUCGUGUUGUGAAAUGUUGGGUUAAGUCCCGCAACGAGCGCAACCCUUAUCCUUUGUUGCCAGCGGUUAGGCCGGGAACUCAAAGGAGACUGCCAGUGAUAAACUGGAGGAAGGUGGGGAUGACGUCAAGUCAUCAUGGCCCUUACGACCAGGGCUACACACGUGCUACAAUGGCAUAUACAAAGAGAAGCGACCUCGCGAGAGCAAGCGGACCUCAUAAAGUAUGUCGUAGUCCGGAUUGGAGUCUGCAACUCGACUCCAUGAAGUCGGAAUCGCUAGUAAUCGUAGAUCAGAAUGCUACGGUGAAUACGUUCCCGGGCCUUGUACACACCGCCCGUCACACCAUGGGAGUGGGUUGCAAAAGAAGUAGGUAGCUUAACCUUCGGGAGGGCGCUUACCACUUUGUGAUUCAUGACUGGGGUG